rnacentral:rRNA from 1 species
AUCAUGGCUCAGAACGAACGCUGGCGGCAGGCCUAACACAUGCAAGUCGAGCGCACCUUCGGGUGAGCGGCGGACGGGUUAGUAACGCGUGGGAACAUACCCUUCUCUAAGGAAUAGCCUCGGGAAACUGAGAGUAAUACCUUAUACGCCCUUCGGGGGAAAGAUUUAUCGGAGAAGGAUUGGCCCGCGUUAGAUUAGAUAGUUGGUGGGGUAAUGGCCUACCAAGUCUACGAUCUAUAGCUGGUUUGAGAGGAUGAUCAGCAACACUGGGACUGAGACACGGCCCAGACUCCUACGGGAGGCAGCAGUGGGGAAUCUUAGACAAUGGGCGAAAGCCUGAUCUAGCGAUGCCGCGUGAGUGACGAAGGCCUUAGGGUCGUAAAGCUCUUUCGCCAGGGAUGAUAAUGACAGUACCUGGUAAAGAAACCCCGGCUAACUCCGUGCCAGCAGCCGCGGUAAUACGGAGGGGGUUAG